CCUACGGGAGGCAGCAGUGGGGAAUAUUGGACAAUGGGCGCAAGCCUGAUCCAGCAAUGCCGCGUGAGUGAUGAAGGCCUUAGGGUCGUAAAGCUCUUUUACCAGGGAUGAUAAUGACAGUACCUGGAGAAUAAGCUCCGGCUAACUCCGUGCCAGCAGCCGCGGUAAUACGGAGGGAGCUAGCGUUGUUCGGAAUUACUGGGCGUAAAGCGUACGUAGGCGGUUAUUCAAGUCAGAGGUGAAAGCCCGGGGCUCAACCCCGGAACGGCCUUUGAAACUAGGUAGCUAGAAUCUUGGAGAGGUCAGUGGAAUUCCGAGUGUAGAGGUGAAAUUCGUAGAUAUUCGGAAGAACACCAGUGGCGAAGGCGACUGACUGGACAAGUAUUGACGCUGAGGUACGAAAGCGUGGGGAGCAAACAGGAUUAGAUACCCUGGUAGUCCACGCCGUAAACGAUGAUAACUAGCUGUUCGGGCACUUGGUGCUUGAGUGGCGCAGCUAACGCAUUAAGUUAUCCGCCUGGGGAGUACGGUGCAAGNUUAAAACUCAAAGGAAUUGACGG
rnacentral:rRNA from 1 species